rnacentral:rRNA from 1 species
UACGUAGGGAGCGAGCGUUGUCCGGAUUUACUGGGUGUAAAGGGUGCGUAGGCGGCUAUGCAAGUCAGUAGUGAAAUCCAUGGGCUUAACCCAUGAACUGCUAUUGAAACUGCACAGCUUGAGUGAAGUAGAGGUAGGCGGAAUUCCCGGUGUAGCGGUGAAAUGCGUAGAGAUCGGGAGGAACACCAGUGGCGAAGGCGGCCUACUGGGCUUUAACUGACGCUGAGGCUCGAAAGCGUGGGGAGCGAACAGG